rnacentral:rRNA from 1 species
CUACGUGCCAGCAGCCGCGGUAAUACGUAGGUGGCAAGCGUUGUCCGGAAUUAUUGGGCGUAAAGCGCGCGCAGGCGGAUCAGUCAGUCUGUCUUAAAAGUUCGGGGCUUAACCCCGUGAUGGGAUGGAAACUGCUGAUCUAGAGUAUCGGAGAGGAGAGUGGAAUUCCUAGUGUAGCGGUGAAAUGCGUAGAUAUUAGGAAGAACACCAGUGGCGAAGGCGACUUUCUGGACGAAAACUGACGCUGAGGCGCGAAAGCCAGGGGAGCGAACGGGAUUAGAUACCCCGGUAGUCCUGGCCGUAAACGAUGGGUACUAGGUGUAGGAGGUAUCGACCCCUUCUGUGCCGGAGUUAACGCAAUAAGUACCCCGCCUGGGGAGUACGACCGCAAGGUUGAAACUCAAAGGAAUUGACGGGGGCCCGCACAAGCGGUGGAGUAUGUGGUUUAAUUCGACGCAACGCGAAGAACCUUACCAGGUCU